GGAGGCCGAGGCCGGAGAGGCGCUGCUGGAGCAGCAGCAGCGGCGGCGGCGGCGGGUCCGGGGGGAGCCGCGGAGGCUCGGCGGGCUCGCCGGCGGGGUGCUUCGCCGAUGAGGCGGUGGCUGCUCGGCGGCGGGAACCCGCGCGGAGGUAGAGCUGCACCGUUUUCCCUUCACAUGCAAGUUGCAGGUGAAAAAUGCCCAGGCAAAACGUGAAGGAAAUUGGUCGAAAACGAGGUCGAGCCUGCCGCAAUGAGCCAGAAAGGAGAAAGGACUUAACUCCGAAGUGCGUGGAGACCGCUAGCUCCUGUUCCACAUGCUGAGGGAGGCCAGGGAGGAACACAAAGCAGAAGGUCCUCCACAAAAACAGGCUGGAAAAUGGUCUUCAACAGCGGCCUUUGGGGUUGCUGUGAGCGGAGCAGGGUUGUUCUUGGGAAAGCCUCGUGCAAGUGGUUGGAAGAUGAGCGUCGGAGCAAGAACUGGGAUUGCGUAGCAGCCCCGUGAGGAUGUUGUGCUGAGAAAAGGUCACCAAGUGGAAGUUGAAUCAAAGUACCCUUUGAUCUCUUACUGCAACAUUUCUUUCACCUCCACUAUUCAAGCCUAUUUUUCAAGCAUCAAACUAAUUCCCAUUCAGAAGCUUUUACAGCUUUUACUGAAAAAAACCCCAAACUCUUGGACCUAAAUCCAUUGGUGUCAGCCCCUAAAUCAGGAUGUUGCUUCCCCAAGACAAAGAUGACAUCUGCCCACAUCUCAUUUAUCUCCUUAAUGAGGCAUGGCGUCUGGCCAGCUGCGACGCAAAAUGCCGUGCGUCGGAGAUGCCCCACGCUGGGUGAGAACCUGCUUGGUCCUUACACGAUCGGAUCAUUCUCCACGGGCUGUGGAUCCCAUCACACCGUGAUGCCAAGGGACCGGCUCUGCCGGAUGCCACCCCGCUGCGGUGCUCCCGCUGGGAAGAGAGCGUGAGGAGAAGCCAAAGCAACUCCGCUAACGUUGGAGGCAAUGCUUUCCAAGCAAAUAAAAGCCAGGAUCAAGCCUCUUGCAUUUCAGGGAAUUUUUCGCUUCCAGACCUCAGCAUCAGGACAGGUCGUGACAGUGACAUCCUUUGUUGCAGGGAUCAUAAGUCAGAUGGCUGCAGGGUGCACCUGAGGAGGUGUACUUUCAAGAAGUUCAUCCUUAUGAUGCUGCUAAAACUUGCACGUAAAGAAGGCAAGCAUAUGUCUUCUGAAUAAUAUGUCCUUAAGGACAAAAAGUCCUGUUGCAGUUCAAGAGGGCCAAGCAGUUUCCAGCAUGAGACCAUAUUGCUGUUAAUGUUGGAAAAAAGCAGGAAACAUGCAAGUGGCUAUUGCAUGGGCAUCACUCAUCUGAUAAAACCACUGGGUGAGGAUUAUUUUCUUUCACUCAUGGACAUCUGCUGCGGGCAGGUUAACCCUCCCUGAGUGUGUAGGGUGGGAAGGGGAAGAGAAAAUGUUAGGUGAAACUUUCAUUUUCGUUUCACAUUUCUAGCAUAGAUUUCUGUGGGUAUGAACCCUGGACAGCGGGUGAAAACAUCCUGAAGCCACAUAAUUCAGAGGUUUUGCUUACCUGAGUCCAAGGGAGGAGGGGAUUUUUUAGAAUUUAGUCUCAUCUUUGAGAUUAGCAGAUGGACACAGCAUCUCCACUUUGGGGAGAGCCAGCCCAGCCCCACCACGCAGGGACCUCUCGUAGAGUGAACCAUCUUGUGGUCCACCAAAUGGUGAUAGGUAUUGCAAGUCUGGUCUCCCAUCAACCUCUACUAUAAAUCAUGGGACAGACUCCCUCAGGUCUCCAGGAAAGCAAGCUGUGUGCCAGGGAACUCUUCAUUAACCAAGUGUUAUUACACAUCUGACUCCAUUUCCCCUUAUUUAAGCUUUCGUUUAGAGCGGUGUGGCUGGUGGGAUGCUUGUCAGCAUCACAGAAUACUGUCUACAGGUAGAAAACGAAAAGCAAAAUUGAAAAUACUUGUGACUGCCAAUGAAAACAACAAAAAAAAAGCUGUCUCUUACUGUAUUUCCAAACUGCCUCUUAUUGGUUUCAUCCCCUGUCUGCGUUUGUUUCUCUCUUUCUUGGAAAGGAACUUGCACAAUAUCAGACUUCAGCACGUCACAGGCAGAAACGAGGUAUUUCUGGUGAGGAAAGAAUUGCAAAAAACAGGGAGGAGCUUUUCCUCCUAUAGACUGAAAGAGCUCUGCAAAAGACUGUUCAAGGCGCUCCCAACGCUGGGAAACCUGCUCCUGUUUUGAAAGGGAAAAUACCCAAGGGAUGCUGAGGUGAUCAAAAAAACACAGAUCCCAGGAGAAUGGGCAAAGGGAUGGGGGGAGAGAAGAUACUUUAGACUUGUUCAGAGUCAAUGACUCUCUCUUCCAACCCUGCUCUCACAUUACAUAAAAUAAAACAGGACAUUUCAGGACUGAAGUCAGAACAUCCGUGGUGCACCAAGUCCAUGGCUCCAGCUGUGUGACAUGAUCUUCCUGUUUAGCUGUUGGUAACAAUGCUUAGUCUAAGAUAAAAAUCAACAAAAAGAUAAACUCACCACUUCUUACUGCAAUCAGGAAAAGGGAUUAGGCUGCUUGCCCAGCUGGUGAUACCACUGACACAGGUAAAAUACAAAUAGUAUGUAUAUAGACCUUUAGUCAUGUGUCAGCUUGAGUGUGGCCAUGGACAUGAAGCUGGGCUUCUGCUACCAACACAUUCUGGAGUAGGAAUUUCUGGGUAAGUGGCAGUAAUUCUCUUUUAUGAACCUGGGCUUCUCUUUUACGCUGGGGCAGCAGGGCUCAGUGCUGCUCAGGGUUGCUCUAAAUACACCCAACAAAUCUGCUUACCUAUUUUUCCCCUGGAAAUCCGACGUGACCUGUUUAAAGGCAAGGCUUACCUUGAUCCUUCUGCCUGCGAUGCUGCAGGAAGGUUACUUGGGUGCAGAGGAGAAGGUAAAACAUCGCGGUGUGCUGUGUUUUGCCCAUCGCUGCAGACUCAGCAGGAGCUCAUGGCUUGGGCUCCCCCGUGUGGGAUGGGAUUUUCCAUUUAGGAUAAAUGCUGACAAAUACUCCCCACGACAUUGUACUGACUGGAGGUACAAUAUUUAUCAAUACCCACCUGCUGCUGGAGAAUACCUGUGGCUCCCUCGACUGCUCCAAGCCUCUGUGCGAUAGCAGUAACAUCUAUUUGCAAAGUUGGUGAGGGACAGGGAGACAUGUAUUUAAUUUAGUUAAUUAAUACAAAUGGCAAUUCAGCCUGCAGCUCCAGCACAGGUACCUCUGUGGGUGGCUUUGCCCUCAAACCACCUUUUGAAAAGCUUUUCUCAGUUACAGAUUUUCUAACACUGGUGCCUCUCACCGCUCCGGAGCUUACCUGUGAAAUGAGCCUGAUGGGCUCAUUUCUGUUCGUUCUCUGCAGGGGAAAUCAAGUAUUCUCUUUCAGUCUGCAACGGUUUCCACUUUUUGUAAGGAAAAAAAAAAAAAAGUGUGCAUGCAGAAAGGAAUUUCAGGGUGCCACAGUUUUAUUAAGUGCAUUUGCUAGUGUGGUAGGAUAGCAGGAUGGAGCAAAUAAUUUACAGUGAAUAACUGAGUCAAUUCAUUUGGCUUCGCUUUUCUUGCCUUACCAUCCUUUUGACCAAAUAAUUAUUAUUUACCUGAAAUUUUAUGCACCAAAGAGCUUCAAUGAAAAACCUUCACCAUAUAGCUAUUUUAUAGCUAUUUUAUGUCAUGGGGACUUAAGACAUGUUAAUUAAACUUAGCAGAUAUCCGUGUUGCACAAUAUUGCAUCUUGUUUCUGAAUGGGUUCACCUGGGGUUUGGAGUCAGGUCUCCACAGCAAGUAGUAGUGGAUCCUAGUCUGAAAAUAUAAUUCUCAGCAAUUUGUCUCUAAUAAUUGUCUCUAAUAAUUACCUGUUGUAAAUAUGGUCGGCAACAAAUCCACUUCCUAAAAAAUACUCAAAGAAAGCAAACAAAAAAGGGAUGAAAAUGUGGCUAAAACAAAUUCUCUAGGGUCUUCUGAGUCUUUGCAGGUGCUUCUGCCUGGUGUAAAAGUCCCAAGGUGGCCCCAUCUCACGGGUUUCUCUCUGUGGGCCCAUGACUCUUCCUAAAGGCCCUGUUUUGGGCUAGGGAGUUAUCUGGUGUGAUGUGUGGUCUUCAGGUUUGUGCCGAGAGCUGAGAGCAAAGGGAUAUCCUUUGGGACAUCUUCAAACGUCCAUUGGGAGUCAUCUGAAGAUGGAGAUCUGUGCUGAAGUGCAGCUGGUAGGGCUGAUGGGCUGGAGACAUUCAGUCCUCACCUGCCUGGUCUGACCCUGGAACUCAGAUUUCUUGGAGCAAAGAUAUAUACCAGCUGCAAAUAUACAAAUAUACAUCAGUUCCCAAGAACUAAGCCUCUCCAGAAUAACUGAUCUUCUUCCUUUUCCUGAGGUCAUGGGUUCACCAUGCUGCGCAGGACAGCCCAGGAAAAUCGUGGUGGACUGCCUUGAACAGCUUUUCAAGGUGUACUACAACAACUUCAAUAAAUAAAGGAAGGCCACAAUGUAGAUAUUCAACAUUCAAAA